rnacentral:rRNA from 1 species
CCCUUAGAUGUUCUGGGCCGCACACGCGCUACAAUGGCAAAGUCAACGAGCUUAUCCUAUGCUGACAAGCACAGGUAAUCUUUUCAGUCUUUGUCGUGAUGGGGAUAGACCCUUGUAAUUAUUGGUCUCCAACGAGGAAUUCCUAGUAAACGCAAGUCAUCAACUUGCAUUGAUUACGUCCCUGCCCUUUGUACACACCACCCGUCGCACCUACCGAUUGAAUGGUCCGGUGAAGUCUUCGGACCGAUGCUGACUCGUUGGCAACGGAAAGUUGAGUAAACCUUACCAUUUAGAGGAAGGUGAAGUCGUAACA